rnacentral:tRNA from 1 species
GCUUGGCUGGCUCAGUCAGUAAAGCAUGUGACUCAUGAUCUCAGGGUUGUAAGUUCAAAACCUACAUCAGGUG